rnacentral:rRNA from 1 species
GUGAGGAAUUUUCCGCAAUGGGCGAAAGCCUGACGGAGCAAUGCCGCGUGAAGGAUGAAGGCCUAUGGGUUGUAAACUUCUUUUCUCAGAAAAGAAUUAUGACGGUAUCUGAGGAAUAAGCAUCGGCUAACUCUGUGCCAGCAGCCGCGGUAAGACAGAGGAUGCAAGCGUUAUCCGGAAUGAUUGGGCGUAAAGCGUCUGUAGGUUGUUUAAAAAGUAUUCUGUCAAAGAUUAGGGCUUAACCCUAGAUAGGCAGAAUAAACUUUUAAGCUAGAGUAUGGUAGAGGCAGAGGGAAUUCCCGGUGGAGCGGUGAAAUGCGUAGAUAUCGGGAGGAACACCAAAGGCGAAGGCACUCUGCUGGGCCAAUACUAACACUGAGAGACGAAAGCGAGGGGAGCAAAUGGGAUUAGAAACCCGUGUAGUCC